GACAGAGGGGGCAAGCGUUGCUCGGAAUUACUGGGCGUAAAGCGUGCGCAGGCGGUUUUGUAAGCCAGAUGUGAAAGCCCCGGGCUUAACCUGGGAAUGGCAUUUGGGACUGCAAGGCUUGAGUGCGGCAGAGGAGACUGGAAUUCCUGGUGUAGCAGUGAAAUGCGUAGAUAUCGUCAAGAACACCGAUAGUGAAGACAGCUUACUAGGCUUAUACUGACGCUGAGGCACGAAAGUGUGGGGAUCAAACAGG
rnacentral:rRNA from 1 species